rnacentral:lncRNA from 1 species
GGCAAGGCCAGUGCAAUUCCAAUUCUAAUCUUGAAAGCUCAUCAUAGGCCAGGCCUGAGUGGAAGGAACUUUCCAUACAUGUCUUGACUUUAGCAUCUGGCUUCCUCUAACGUCUGUUAACACCGAUUUAAAGAUAGACUAGUAGAUUCCAGAACAUUUCUUGUUAACUAUUUUAAGUACCUCAAUCUCUUUUUCAAGGUUAUAGCUUUGAGCUUCAAGCUAUUUGAAAUAAACCUGGAAGGGACCAGAACUGAAUCGGAAAUCCAAGUCUUUGUGUGGGGAUUGAUUGACGCACUCAGGACCAGAAUGCUGACAGGCUGAUUCCCAUUUUCCAGAACCUUGGACCAGUACACACCAGGAAAGGAAGAGACACCACCUGCACCCACUGGAAGAAGAGAUGGGAAGACGACAAUAUAAGAACAUAUCCAACAACAGAAAAACCAAUAUGAUGCCACCAGAUUCUAGGGACUUUUUCUUUUUG